ACUGCUCCUAGAGACCUUGCAUGUAUAGCUGUUGUGCCACAUGUAUAUCAAUAGGUGGCAGAGAAGAGAGAGGCUAUGUCUACACUCAGUGUUCUGACCUAUACAUAUCUGAAUAAUUAGUAGCCUAACAUU